rnacentral:lncRNA from 1 species
CGGAUAGUACAUGUCUCAGUGUGGAGGGGGUGAACGAGACCACGUAUAUUAAGUGUUUUGCAUGUGGCUGGCACAUAGUGGACGUUAAUAACUAUUAGGAUCAUAUAGUGUAUUAAUGUCUGGAACAUACAGGCAGCCCGCACGUGACAUUCUGUUAAGUAUUAUUUUUAAUCAGAAACUUUUUGAAUUUAUUUUGACAAAGAUGAUAUCUGUUCAUUUUAGGCUGGGAAAGUGCCUUGUAUUCAGCCAGUCCAGUCCUCUAACUUUACAGACCAAGACUUCAGGAGGCAGAGUUUGAGGCAGAGGCCGUCUUCUGUCUUCUAAAUCCGUGGGGAUGGCGGAGAAGGAGAGAGGAAACAACGUGUGAAGAUUCUAAACAUCCAUGAAUGAUCAUCAAGAGUGACAAGUUGAUGUCUUUGGAUCGACCACCCCAGUUCCACGUGCUUUACAGCCUGGCAGCUGGUCAGGAAGCUCCAGUGAUCUGUGGGGCUAAUGCUGUCCCUCUAACAAGGCCCUAUCAGGUAAAAAAACAGAAGUCACAAAGGAAUCCACUGGAAGAUUUGAAGAGAAACUACAAAGGACUUCAUUAAUAUAAAAGGGAAGAUUAGUCAGAGAACAAAAGAAUAAGGAAGGAGGCAGGGAAUGGAGAGAGGGAAGGAAUUAUAAUAAUGUAAGACAGGGAGACUGGUGGGUGAAAACUAGGGAGGAAUUAAAACAAAGACUCCGAGACUUUCUAGAUCCACAAGAUCUUCCUGCAUAUCCCUCCUUUGUGACAAGAUGAAGACAAAGUGUGAGUGACAGGGAAAUUCUAGUUUUAGAUGUAAAUUUAUAAAAAGUAACAACAAUUAAAUUUCUCCUGAGGUCUGGGUUAGCCAAGCCAAAAGCACAGCAUUAGAGUUGAUUUGGGAGAUUUGAUAGUACUUUCUCUUCUGCUUUCUUAACUUAUAUUCACUAGUAAAGGUCUGAAACUACCUUUGUGAACUCUCAUUCUGCUUUCAUUAGACAGUGGAGUUUAUAUUAUCUACAAAAAGUUGAUAAAAAGCUCCGGAAGGGAGUGCAGGUGUAUCCAAUGGCUAUUUGUUUUCUUAGGGACUUUAAAAAUACAGCUGUCCUUGGGGCACCUGGGUGGCUCAGUCAGUUAAGCAUCUGCCUUUGGCUGGGGUCAUGAUCCCGGGGUCCUGGGAUCGAGCCCCAUGUUGGGUCCCUGCCCAGCAGGGAAUCUGCA